AGGACGAACGCUGGCGGCGUGCUUAACACAUGCAAGUCGAGCGGAAAGGCCCUUCGGGGUACUCGAGCGGCGAACGGGUGAGUAACACGUGAGCAACCUGCCCUUGGCUCUGGGAUAGCCUCCGGAAACGGGGAUUAAUACCGGACAUUCACUUUCUCCUGCAUGGGGGGUUGGUGGAAAGUUUUUCGGCCAGGGAGGGGCUCGCGGCCUAUCAGCUUGUUGGCGGGGUAACGGCCCACCAAGGCGACGACGGGUAGCCGGCCUGAGAGGGCGAUCGGCCACACUGGGACUGAGACACGGCCCAGACUCCUACGGGAGGCAGCAGUGGGGAAUAUUGCACAAUGGGCGCAAGCCUGAUGCAGCGACGCCGCGUGGGGGAUGAAGGCCUUCGGGUUGUAAACCCUUUCACCAGGAGCGAAUUCAGACGGUACCGUGGGGAAGAAGGCGCCGGCUAACUACGCGCCAGCAGCCGC
rnacentral:rRNA from 1 species